AUCACCCAGAGCAUCAGGGAGAUGCUUGCUCUAGAUUGCCAGCCCUUCUCCUUAGUUGAGCAGCCAGGAUUCCGGUGGCUCAUGUUGCUCAUCCCUGUCAUUCCAAAUGGCU